rnacentral:tRNA from 1 species
CCCACUGUAGCUCAGUUGGUAGAGCAUGGCGCUUGCAAUGCCAGGGUUGUGGGUUGGAUUCCCAUGGGGGGC